CUGAGGGAACGGACUAGUUUUUAUAACAAUCCACUUUUUGCCGCCACAUUGUUACUGCAUUUUAUGAAUCGGAAAAUCAGUUUGUAAUGGAUUGGAGGUGGGGGGGGAUGUGAGCAAUCACCACACAUUGUUUGGAAUGUUGUCCUGGGCCCUCCCUGCAUCUUCUGGACCCAGCUCUCCACCGCUUCAGCUUCUCUGGGAUCACUACCAGGGGCUACAUCUUGUUGUUUGCAUGUGGUUUUUUAUAGCUCUAUGUGAAAAGUGGUUCUUUCCUCCCUAGGCCACUUUCUUCCCUAGAAACCUUUUCAGUUGUUGGAAACAAAGGUUUGUGCAUAUCACCUGGAGCAAAGGCGCGGUGGGCAUGGUCAUGGCCAAGUUUCACCUGGAGAGAAGCUGGAUGCAUAACGGUGACACAUGAUGGGAUCCAAGGCAGCAGGCAGAGAGAAAAGCCAGAGAGGACGAAGAUGGAAGGCAACCUCACUGAGGACUCUGCUGUCCCGCGGGGAGGCGCCCCCCCCCCCCCGUUCCGAAGGGCUUCCAGGGCCAUCAGCUGCCUGAGGUGGGGUGGAGGGCAAGCGCGUUACUGAGGUGUAGGCAGCUGGGGGUUUUGUUAAAGAUCUUUCUAUUGGGGCGCCUGGGUUGCUCAGUGGGUUAAGCCACUGCCUCCGGCUCAGGUCAUGAUCCCAGGGUCCUGGGAUCGAGUCUCGCAUCAGGCUCUCUGCUCAGCGAGGAGCCUGCUUCUUCCUCUCUCUCUCUGCCUGCCUCUCUGCCUACUUGUGAUCUCU
rnacentral:lncRNA from 1 species